CGUGUAGGCGGUUUGGCAAGUCAGAUGUGAAAGCCCUGGGCUCAACCCAGGAAGUGCAUUUGAAACUGCCAUCCUUGAGUAUGGGAGAGGAGAGUGGAAUUCCCGAUGUAGAGGUGAAAUUCGUAGAUAUUGGGAGGAACACCCGUGGCGAAGGCGACUCUCUGGACCAAUACUGACGCUGAGACGCGAAAGCGUGGGGAGCAAACA
rnacentral:rRNA from 1 species